rnacentral:rRNA from 1 species
UACGGGGGGAGCAAGCGUUGUUCGGAUUUACUGGGCGUAAAGCGCGUGUAGGCGGCCAGGUAAGUCCGUUCUGAAAGCCCGGGGCUCAACCCCGGGAGGCGGAUGGGUACUGCUUGGCUCGAGUCCGGAAGAGGCGAGUGGAAUUCCCGGUGUAGCGGUGAAAUGCGCAGAUAUCGGGAGGAACACCAAUGGCGAAGGCAGCUCGCUGGGACGGUACUGACGCUGAGACGCGAAAGCGUGGGGAGCAAACAGG